CUGCCCUCGAGCGCGGUUAGCUUGCUAUCCGCUGCCCGGUGUUGGGGCGCUACGGUUCCAGGGCCUCGUGCCCUGUCCGUAGGCCCCGAAAUGAAGUGGCGGUCCCGCCGCGGCGCCCCCUGCGUAGUAGUCUUACAACUCGCAUCGGGACCCGGUGGAGGCCAGCCGUCAACCCAUCUUUUUUAUG
rnacentral:misc_RNA from 1 species